rnacentral:rRNA from 1 species
GGAGGGUGCAAGCGUUAAUCGGAAUUACUGGGCGUAAAGCGCACCCAGGCGGUUUGUUAAGUCAGAUGUGAAAUCCCCGGGCUCAACCUGGGAACUGCAUCUGAUACUGGUAAGCUUGAGUCUCGUAGAGGGGGGUAGAAUUCCAGGUGUAGCGGUGAAAUGCGUAGAGAUCUGGAGGAAUACCGGCGGCGAAGGCGGCCCCCUGGACGAAGACUGACGCUCAGGUGCGAAAGCGUGGGGAGCAAACGGGAUUAGAUACCCUGGUAGUCCACGCCGUAAACGAUGUCGACUUGGAGGUUGUGCCCUUGAGGCGUGGCUUCCGGAGCUAACGCGUUAAGUCGACCGCCUGGGGAGUACGGCCGCAAGGUUA